GACGAACGCUGGCGGCGUGCUUAACACAUGCAAGUCGAACGGAAAGGCCCUGCUUUUGUUGGGUGCUCGAGUGGCGAACGGGUGAGUAACACGUGAGUAACCUGCCCUUGACUGUGGGGUAACUUCAGGAAACUGGGGCUAAUACCAGAUAGGAGCUCCUGCUGCAUGGUGGGGGUUGGAAAGUUUCGGCGGGUGGGGAUGGACUCGCGGCUUAUCAGCUUGUUGGUGGGGUAGUGGCUUACCAAGGCUUUGACGGGUAGCCGGCCUGAGAGGGUGACCGGCCACAUUGGGACUGAGAGACGGCCGAGACUCCUACGGGAGGCAGCAGUGGGGAAUAUUGCACGAGGGGCGGAAGCCUGAUGCAGGAACGCCGCGUGCGGGAUGACGGCCUUCGGGUUGUAAACCGCUUUCGCCUGUGACGAAGCGUGAGUGACGGUAAUGGGUAAAGAAGCACCGGCUAACUACGUG
rnacentral:rRNA from 1 species